AUUUAGUCUACGUCUAAAGUAUCUGACGUUUCUUGCCAAUUGUUUGAUACGUUUCUUUCCAGCAUCAGUUCCAUCCUCGCCAGAGAUGAUUCUCAUAGAUGCGAUAAUUUGUUGGGCGACGGGAGGUGACAUGGCAAUUGCCUAUAUAUCCGCCAGCAGAUCCAAAACUUUUCGUAAAUGUUCCCAUAAGUAUAUCGAUUUCCCGAGGAUCUAUAUCAUAAUAAUCACAAACUCCUCGUCCAUGUUUCCCUAUUGCCCCUAUACUAUGAGCCUCGUCCACGUAAAGAUAGGCCUAAAUUUAAUGACAAUGAGUAUUAUUAACUCUUUGCGAUUGUAAUACUUUUUUUGUAAUACUAGAAAUAUCUUUCGAUCGUAAAGAGUUAAGAAUACAUAAUGAUAAUGAUAUAUUAUUGAAUAAUUGAGAAAAAUCCCUCUUUGCAUAUUUCCAACAUUACCUAACAAAUGUGAAAUAAUCAAAUAUAAUGUCUUAACAUUUGUAUUAAAAUUAAUGAUAAUGAGUUGUUAUCAAUACUAUUACACUUUAUCCUCUAUUUCAAAAAAAUCCUGUUAUCAACAAUUAUACCAACUUUGUACUUUUUUUUCAGUUCCAGAAUUUCAGGAAGGUGGACUAUUGAUCCUUCCAUUGAAUAAAUACCCUCAACUAUUAUAAUUAUUUUCUUCCAUGGUUCACCAUUUUUAGGUUGACCAUAAACUAUUGCUUUUUUUAAAUGAUCCUCCAAAUGUUUUACAUCUGCAAUAAGACAUGUACAUAUGUAAUUUAUCCUUCACCUUUUAUAUCAUCUUAAUAAUAAUAUCCACUUACUGUUAUGGUGAAAAACACGUAUUGUUGCUCCUGAUAAUCGUAAUCCAAGAAUGAGUGACGCGUGAUUUUUUUCAUCGCUAAGUACCAAACAGCCUUUACUAACAAGGGAUGGCAAAUUUAAUGCAUUUGUUGCAAAUCCCAUCCCAAAUACUAUAGCAUCUUCAACUCCCAAAAAUGAAGCUGUUAAUUUUUCUAAUUCUUCAUGGAUAGGUGCAUUUCCUAACAAACAAAAUAUGUUUUAAUUGAAAUUCUAUUUGAAUGUAUCGAUUGAUUUUGUUUUUACCUCGUUAUAUUAAAUAUAUAGUUUUACCUAAUUCAAGUCGAGUACUACAGCUGCUACAACCUAAUUUUUGGAGAACCAUGAUAGAUUGUUCCGCACAUGCUCCGCUUGAUUCUGCAAAGCCUAGAUAAUUGUAAGAUCCUAAAUUUAUGCAAGACCUUUCAGAUCCAGUAAACCUGUUGAUUAUGUCAAAUAUAAAUAUAUUAUUGUUAUAUUAAUAUUAGCAAUUCAUAUAUAA